GGUUGCUGGAGCUGGUCAAAGCACGCCUACACAAGCCUGAAGAUGAGUCAGAGCCCUGGAGCCCUGUAAAAAGGUGGACGUUGAGGCAAGCAUCUGUAACCCCAGCACUCAAUGAAAGGGAAGGCAGAUGUAGAAAAAUCUGUCAGGAGCUCCCAGGCCAGGAGUACGCAGGGCAGAAAAUCCCUGCCUCAACACUGUGGAAGAUGAGAACUCCCUCUGAAAGUGUCCUCUAACCCACACAUACACACACCACCAUGGCAUGCAUGCGCACCUGUACACACGCACACAUACAUACGCAUACACACUCAUACACACACACACACACACACACACAUGCACACACACAUACAUACUCAUACACACUCAUACAUGCACACACGCAUGCACACACACAUGCACACACACAUACAUACUCAUACACACUCAUACACUCACACACGCACGCACACACACAUACAUACUCAUACACACUCAUACACGCACACACACACACACACACACACAUGCACACACACACACAUACAUACUCAUACACACUCAUACACGCACACACGCACACACACACACAUGCACACACACACAUACAUACUCAUACACACUCAUACACGCACACACGCACGCACACACACAUGCACACACACAUACAUACUCAUACACACUCAUACACUCACACACGCACGCACACACACAUGCACACACACACAUACAUACUCAUACACACUCAUACACGCACACACGCACACACACACACACAUACAUA
rnacentral:lncRNA from 1 species